GAACGGGGGAGAACCUUACCUACUCUUGACAUCCAGAGAACUUAGCAGAGAUGCUUUGGUGCCUUCGGGAACUCUGAGACAGGUGCUGCAUGGCUGUCGUCAGCUCGUGUUGUGAAAUGUUGGGUUAAGUCCCGCAACGAGCGCAACCCUUAUCCUUUGUUGCCAGCGGUCCGGCCGGGAACUCAAAGGAGACUGCCAGUGAUAAACUGGAGGAAGGUGGGGAUGACGUCAAGUCAUCAUGGCCCUUACGAGUAGGGCUACACACGUGCUACAAUGGCGCAUACAAAGAGAAGCGACCUCGCGAGAGCAAGCGGACCUCAUAAAGUGCGUCGUAGUCCGGAUUGGAGUCUGCAACUCGACUCCAUGAAGUCGGAAUCGCUAGUAAUCGUAGAUCAGAAUGCUACGGUGAAUACGUUCCCGGGUCUUUAACACACCGA
rnacentral:rRNA from 1 species